AUUGAACGCUGGCGGCAGGCCUAACACAUGCAAGUCGAGCGGAUGAAGGGAGCUUGCUCCUGGAUUCAGCGGCGGACGGGUGAGUAAUGCCUAGGAAUCUGCCUGGUAGUGGGGGAUAACGUCCGGAAACGGGCGCUAAUACCGCAUACGUCCUGAGGGAGAAAGUGGGGGAUCUUCGGACCUCACGCUAUCAGAUGAGCCUAGGUCGGAUUAGCUAGUUGGUGGGGUAAAGGCCUACCAAGGCGACGAUCCGUAACUGGUCUGAGAGGAUGAUCAGUCACACUGGAACUGAGACACGGUCCAGACUCCUACGGGAGGCAGCAGUGGGGAAUAUUGGACAAUGGGCGAAAGCCUGAUCCAGCCAUGCCGCGUGUGUGAAGAAGGUCUUCGGAGUGUAAAGCACGUUAAGUUGGGAGGAAGGGCAGUAAGUUAAUACCUUGCUGUUUUGACGUUACCAACAGAAUAAGCACCGGCUAACUUCGUG
rnacentral:rRNA from 1 species